GAUGAAGAACGUAGCGAAAUGCGAUAAGUAAUGUGAAUUGCAGAAUUCAGUGAAUCAUCGAAUCUUUGAACGCACAUUGCGCCCGCCAGUAUUCUGGCGGGCAUGCCUGUUCGAGCGUCAUUACAACCCUCAGGCCCCCGGGCCUGGCGUUGGGGAUCGGCGGAGCCCCCCGUGGGCACACGCCGUCCCCCAAAUACAGUGGCGGUCCCGCCGCAGCUUCCAUCGCGUAGUAGCUAACACCUCGCGACUGGAGAGCGGCGCGGCCACGCCGUAAAACACCCAACUCUUCUGAAUUGACCUCGAAUCAGGUAGGAAUACCCGCUGAACUUAAGCAUAUCAAUAAGCGGAGGA
rnacentral:misc_RNA from 1 species